ACUCCUACGGGAGGCAGCAGUAGGGAAUAUUGCAUAAUGGGCGAAAGCCUGAUGCAGCAACGCCGCGUGCGCGAUGAAGGCCUUCGGGUCGUAAAGCGCUUUUCAGAGGGAUGAGGAAGGACAGUACCUCUGGAAUAAGUCUCGGCUAACUACGUGCCAGCAGCCGCGGUAAAACGUAGGAGGCAAGCGUUAUCCGGAUUUACUGGGCGUAAAGCGCGUGCAGGCGGUUUGGGAAGUUGGAUGUGAAAGCUCCCGGCUCAACUGGGAGAGGUCGUUCAAGACUCUCARACUCGAGGAUGGUAGAGGGAGGUGGAAUUCCGGGUGUAGUGGUGAAAUGCGUAGAUAUCCGGAGGAACACCAGUGGCGAAAGCGGCCUCCUGGACCAUUUCUGACGCUCAGACSCRAAAGCUAGGGGAGCAAACGGGAUUAGAGACCCCGGUAGUCCUAGCUGUAAACUAUGUAGACUUGGCGUCGGUGGGUUCAAAUCCAUCGGUGCCGAAGCAAACGCGAUAAGUCUACCGCCUGGGGACUACGGCCGCAAGGUUAAAACUCAAAGGAAUUGACGG
rnacentral:rRNA from 1 species